rnacentral:rRNA from 1 species
GAAGCCCUACGGGGCGCAGCAGUAGGGAAUCUUCCGCAAUGGGCGAAAGCCUGACGGAGCAACGCCGCGUGAGUGAAGAAGGAUUUCGGUUCGUAAAGCUCUGUUGUUAGGGAAGAAUGAUUGUGUAGUAACUGUACACAGUAGAGACGGUACCUAACCAGAAAGCCACGGCUAACUACGUGCCAGCAGCCGCGGUAAUACGUAGGUCCCAAGCGUUGUCCGGAUUUAUUGGGCGUAACGCGAGCGCAGGCGGU